UACUUUGUAGUUAGCCAUUUUUUUCCAAAUUUUAAUUUAUAAUCUUUUAGUUCCUGGAAAUUUUUAUCAUUCCUUUAACAAAUUAUAAAAGAUCCUUCUAAUGGUCAGUAGAUAUGGUACAUGCUGAUACACAUUAACUAGAGAUGAUGACCUUUGAGUAGCAAAGCACAGACUAUAUUGAGAAAGAGUAGUUUAAUUACUCAUGGGCAACAGCAGUUCGAGUUCUUUAGAGGUCAGUCCCAAACUUAGCUACGACACCAGCUCUCCAAGAGCUGGGUAAUGAUGAUCUGCAGUGACGCCGCUGAGACUGUAUUUGGACCUGCAAGAGGAGAAGGGCAAAAUCUGAAGCUGCUACAAUCCUGGGAAGGGGAAAGCUAUGUGGGAUGUAGGGAAGUAAGCCACACUUACCAAGAGAAACUUGCCUGGCUGUCCAGCAGUUAAAGUUCAGAACUUUCUGGAGUCUUUCCAAUGAGACUCGUCCACUGUGAAGAAAUGACGGUGAUAUAAACAACAAAAGUAAUCAAGUAUUUGUAAACCAGGCACUGUGCUAGGCACUCAGUAUGUGCAAAGGCAAAAGUGAAACUGUCCUUCCCUUCCAGGAGCUUACAUUCUAAGAUGUCCUAUUUCAUAACAAAUCAGCAAAGUAAAGAAAAAUACAUCAAAACACAACAUGUCUGGAGUGUAACUCGACACAGCUGAUGGAUUGUUGCCUUCAGUGGGUGGAAAUCAAGACAACCAGAGCUCAAAGCUGACUUCAGACACUUACUAACUAUGGGACUCUGGGCAAGUCACUUAAACCUCUAUUUGCCUCAGUUUCUUCAGCUGUAAAAUUCAGAUAAUAAUAGUAUCUGUCUCACAGUAUCAUUGUAAAGAUUAAAUGAGAUAAUAUCUGUAAAAAGCAUUGUAGUAGCACAUAGUAAUUGCUAUAUAAACGCUUAUUAGCCCCACCCCCCUCCUGAUACAUUUUCUACUAUGAAACACUACCCCUUCUUUUGGUCAGGGAAGGCAGUUGAGUUCAAAAACGAGCUCAUCAUCCUUGCCAAGUUUUUCCCCUGCAUUUAUUUAUAUCAACAGAAUCCUAGCAUUGGAUCAGCCGAGAAAGUAUAAGAGUAAUACAAAAUGCAGCAGAAAUUGUCUCCUGCAACAAAGUAGACACACAAUUUUAUAUUUUUUAUAAAAUCCUAAUGUUUCUGCCUUAAAUAUUGUAAUUGAUCUGCAGUGUUGGGCAAACAGGAUUUGCUACUGAUUCCUCUGAUGAAACAGGAGGGGAAAACCUGCAUCCUGAAUUUCAGCCCUUUUUUUGUGGCCCUGACCCAAAUUCUUUACAGCUGAGUCAUGGCAUCAUCGCUGGUGGGGAGAGAACACUGGCUGAGUACCGGGGGUGGCAGUGAAGGGACACAUACUGAAAAGCUAUUCCUGUGGUUUUGCUUCUCCCCACCCCCUCCUUCUGCACCAUGACUGAGUAUUUUUUUUUGUGCAUCAAAAGAGCAAGCAGUCACCACCAUACUUACUGUAUUUUUUUAAAGACGGUACUGAUUUCUAGGGAGAAAAAAUGCUUUAAAUAAGCUUCUGCCAAAGAAGUUUCCUAUGUCAGACCACCUCGCGUAACUUCUGGUUUGGAAAAUCUGCUCAGUACGCAGGUGAUCCUUCACCGUCCCUGAAAAAAUUUGACAGCACAUACGUUCUAAAUGUAAGGGAAGAAGGGUGUCACCAUUUAAAUGAACUCUGAAGUUAAUCCUAUUAAAAAGAAAAUAUCACCCCAAUUUAACUAGUCUCCCUUUGGGGAUUGUCAUCUAUCAGGAUUGUUGUCUUCUAUAAUCACAAUAUUUCAUCACCAGCAGAUGUUAUAAAGAAGUUGUGGGUAAUGGGAUAUUUUCUCACACAAAAAGAACUAGCUUAAACAAAGAGUAACAACAAACAGAGCUUUUCAAAAAAUCCUUUCUUUUCCUUCAGUCUUAGAAUCAAUACUGGGUAUUGGCUCUAAGGCAGAAGAGUGGUGAAGGUGAGGCAAUGGGGUUAAGUGACUGGCCCAGGUUCACAUAGCUAGGAAGUAUCUGAGGGCAAAUUUGAGCCCCAGAUCUUCUGUCUCUAGGCAUGGUACUCUAUCCAUUAAGCCACCCAGCUGCCCCAGUAGGUCUUUCUUUUGAUGGAGAAGUAUUCAUGUUUGAAUCCUCCAGGGAUCCAUUCUGGGAUCAUUCUUUUUUAACAGUCUCAUAAAUGAUUACACAGCAAACUACAAUUUUGCAAAUUACAACGAACCCUUAAAAACCUCCCAAGCUAAGAACCACAAAAUACUGGAAAGUUUCCCACAUGUUUUAAGUGGGUAGAAAAAUGGCAAUAAUUUGAACAGGCAAAUGCACCUAGAA